UGGAUGCCACAGCCAGUUUUUCCUACUAUCUAACCGAAAUCUACCUUGCUGCAGAGUAAGCCCAUUACUUCUUGUCUUACCUCCUGUUGACAUAGAGAACAGUUGAUCAUCGCCCUCUUUAUAACAGCCUUUAACAUAUUUAAAGACUUC